rnacentral:tRNA from 1 species
GGCGGGAUGGCUCAAUUGGUUAGAGCGCGAAUUUACUGACCGGAAGGUCAGUGGUUCGAACCCAAUCUCUGCCU